GCGAGCCUGCUUCCAUCUGACGCUGGACGCUUGUCCCUGCCCCGCGUUGCCUUUUAAAUUUUAGCUCAUUCCGAGACACCUGCCGUCAGACAUUUAUGCAGUGUGUGAUUCUUUCUAAAACAACUCCCUGGAAGAGAGGACAUUUAAUUCAACAAUUUAUUGGCCACCUACUGUGCACCAGGCAGUGAACUUGGAACUGGGGCUACUGGGUUACAGCAGUGACCAAGACAGAGGUCCCUGUUCUUAAGGAGCAAGUGAGGGCAACAGAAAAGAGCAGUCAGCUGUCAUGCGAGGGCACUCAAGCAGCCCUGUGGAAAGCUCUACGUGGUGAGAAACUGAAGCCUCCUGCCAACACCAACAAGGAACUGAGACCUACUUCCAACAGCCAUCUGAGUGAUCGAUCCAUCCUGGAAUCAGAUCCUCCAGCCCCAGUCAAGUCUUCAGAUGACUGCAGCCCUGACCAGCAUCUCAACUGCAACCUCGUGAAUGACCCUGAGCCAGAACCAUGCAACUAAACUCUGCGUGGAUUCAUGACCCACAGAAACUGUGAGAUGGUAGCUGUUUGCUUUGUUAAGCCUCUAAGUCUGGAAAGAAUGUCUUAAGCAGUAGCAGACAAUGAACACAAGAUUAUUAUUCAGCUGUUGAAUUGGAAGAGGAGGGGAAGAAAAAAUUUUCAGAUCACAAAAUAUUCAUUGUGUAAAACUUCAAAAAUUCUGAAAUUUAAGGAAAAAAUAUCAUUUGUUGGG
rnacentral:lncRNA from 1 species